rnacentral:lncRNA from 1 species
GGGAAUAGUGUAGUGUAAGGCUAAUUCAAGGUAUGGCUAAGGCAUAAAUAGCAUUCGCUUUUAAUUAAGUUGGUCAAGUUUUAUUAGCAAUUAACUAAGUAUAAGUUCAUACCACCCGAAAUUAAACAUGAACAUAAAUAAAGCAACAAAUGCAUGAAAUGAUAACAAGUUUAAUCCAUCUUUCGAUAAUAUUAUCAUGUGAGGGUCCAGGCCGCUCUUAACCGUGAGCACGGCUGAUCGAUCAGUUUAACACUCUGCAGAGGUGGCACAUCUUUACCCACAAGUCGCGUAAAAGUUCAAAAGAACUUUGGACCCAACCAUGCGGUGUUUGCAAGGCACCAUACCACACUUCCGAGGUGUGAUUGC